UGGCAAUGAUGAUUAAAAGGCCUGACUUAUUGCUGCCAUUUACUUCCUUGGUUGUAGAUUGAUGAAUUCUGGUUUAGGGUUCUGAGCCAG
rnacentral:snoRNA from 1 species